rnacentral:rRNA from 1 species
CAGUAGCCACGGUAGUACGUAGGGUGCGAGCGUUAAUCGGAAUUACUGGGCGUAAAGCGUGCGCAGGCGGUUGUGUAAGACAGGUGUGAAAUCCCCGGGCUUAACCUGGGAACUGCGCUUGUGACUGCACAGCUAGAGUAUGGCAGAGGGGGGCGGAAUUCCACGUGUAGCAGUGAAAUGCGUAGAGAUGUGGAGGAACACCGAUGGCGAAGGCAGCCCCCUGGGCCAAUACUGACGCUCAUGCACGAAAGCUAGGGGAGCAAAUGGGAUUAGAUACCCCCGUAGUCCUGUCUCUUAUACA